rnacentral:rRNA from 1 species
CAAUAGCGUAUAUUAAAGUUGCUGCAGUUAAAAAGCUCGUAGUUGGAUUUCUGGUGGGAGCGAUCGGUCUGGCGCUUAGCGCGAGUACUUGCAUCGUCUCCGGCCAUCCUUGGGGAGAGUCUGUCUGGCAUUAGGUUGUCGGGCAGAAGAUCCUCAUCGUUUACUGUGAAAAAAUUAGAGUGUUCAAAGCAGGCUUAUGCCGUUGAAUAUAUUAGCAUGGAAUAAUAAGAUAGGACUUUGGUACUAUUUUGUUGGUUUGCGCACCAAAGUAAUGAUUAAUAGGGACAGUUGGGGGUAUUCGUAUUCCGUUGUCAGAGGUGAAAUUCUUGGAUUUACGGAAGACGAACUACUGCGAAAGCAUUUACCAAGGAUGUUUUCAUUAA